CAUGCAAGUCGAGCGGUAGAGAGAAGCUUGCUUCUCUUGAGAGCGGCGGACGGGUGAGUAAUGCCUAGGAAUCUGCCUGGUAGUGGGGGAUAACGCUCGGAAACGGACGCUAAUACCGCAUACGUCCUACGGGAGAAAGCAGGGGACCUUCGGGCCUUGCGCUAUCAGAUGAGCCUAGGUCGGAUUAGCUAGUUGGUGGGGUAAUGGCUCACCAAGGCGACGAUCCGUAACUGGUCUGAGAGGAUGAUCAGUCACACUGGAACUGAGACACGGUCCAGACUCCUACGGGAGGCAGCAGUGGGGAAUAUUGGACAAUGGGCGAAAGCCUGAUCCAGCCAUGCCGCGUGUGUGAAGAAGGUCUUCGGAUUGUAAAGCACUUUAAGUUGGGAGGAAGGGCAGUAACCUAAUACGUUGCUGUCUUGACGUUACCGACAGAAUAAGCACCGGCUAACUCUGUGCCAGCAGCCGCGGUAAUACAGAGGGUGCAAGCGUUAAUCGGAAUUACUGGGCGUAAAGCGCGCGUAGGUGGUUUGUUAAGUUGGAUGUGAAAUCCCCGGGCUCAACCUGGGAACUGCAUUCAAAACUGACAAGCUAGAGUAUGGUAGAGGGUGGUGGAAUUUCCUGUGUAGCGGUGAAAUGCGUAGAUAUAGGAAGGAACACCAGUGGCGAAGGCGACCACCUGGACU
rnacentral:rRNA from 1 species